rnacentral:rRNA from 1 species
UAAGCGUACACGGUGGAUGCCCUGGCAGUCAGAGGCGAUGAAGGACGUGCUAAUCUGCGAUAAGCGUCGGUAAGGUGAUAUGAACCGUUAUAACCGGCGAUUUCCGAAUGGGGAAACCCAGUGUGUUUCGACACACUAUCAUUAACCGAAUCCAUAGGUUAAUGAGGCGAACCGGGGGAACUGAAACAUCUAAGUACCCCGAGGAAAAGAAAUCAACCGAGAUUCCCCAAGUAGCGGCGAGCGAACGGGGAGCAGCCCAGAGCCUGAAUCAGUGUGUGUGUUAGUGGAAGCGUCUGGAAAGGCGCGCGAUACAGGGUGACAGCCCCGUACACAAAAAUGCACAUAUUGUGAGCUCGAUGAGUAGGGCGGGACACGUGGUAUCCUGUCUGAAUAUGGGGGGACCAUCCUCCAAGGCUAAAUACUCCUGACUGACCGAUAGUGAACCAGUACCGUGAGGGAAAGGCGAAAAGAACCCCGGCGAGGGGAGUGAAAAAGAACCUGAAACCGUGUACGUACAAGCAGUGGGAGCACGCUUAGGCGUGUGACUGCGUACCUUUUGUAUAAUGGGUCAGCGACUUAUAUUCUGUAGCAAGGUUAACCGAAUAGGGGAGCCGAAGGGAAACCGAGUCUUAACUGGGCGUUAAGUUGCAGGGUAUAGACCCGAAACCCGGUGAUCUAGCCAUGGGCAGGUUGAAGGUUGGGUAACACUAACUGGAGGACCGAACCGACUAAUGUUGAAAAAUUAGCGGAUGACUUGUGGCUGGGGGUGAAAGGCCAAUCAAACCGGGAGAUAGCUGGUUCUCCCCGAAAGCUAUUUAGGUAGCGCCUCGUGAA